CCCUUAGAUGUCCUGGGCUGCACGCGCGCUACACUGACACAUGCAACGAGUUUUUCCUUACCUGAAAGGGUUGGGUAAUCUCCUUGAAAGUGUGUCGUGAUGGGGAUAGAUUAUUGCAAUUAUUAAUCUUCAACGAGGAAUUCCUAGUAAGUGCAAGUCAUCAGCUUGCGCUGAUUACGUCCCUGCCCUUUGUACACACCGCCCGUCGCUACUACUGAUUGGAUGUUUAAGCGAGGUUCUCGAACUGCUAGCGACUUAGCUUCGGUGAGGUCGCAGUGUGGGAAGUGAACCUAGCUUUGGUGUCUAGAGGAAGUAAAAGUCGUAACA
rnacentral:rRNA from 1 species